GAUGAACGCUGGCGGCGUGCCUAAUACAUGCAAGUCGAGCGAACAGACGAGGAGCUUGCUCCUCUGACGUUAGCGGCGGACGGGUGAGUAACACGUGGAUAACCUACCUAUAAGACUGGGAUAACUUCGGGAAACCGGAGCUAAUACCGGAUAAUAUAUUGAACCGCAUGGUUCAAUAGUUAAAGACGGUUUUGCUGUCACUUAUAGAUGGAUCCGCGCCGCAUUAGCUAGUUGGUAAGGUAACGGCUUACCAAGGCAACGAUGCGUAGCCGACCUGAGAGGGUGAUCGGCCACACUGGAACUGAGACACGGUCCAGACUCCUACGGGAGGCAGCAGUAGGGAAUAUUCCGCAAUGGGCGAAAGCCUGACGGAGCAACGCCGCGUGAGUGAUGAAGGUCUUCGGAUCGUAAAACUCUGUUAUUAGGGAAGAACAAAUGUGUAAGUAAAUAUGCACGUCUUGACGGUACCUAAUCAGAAAGCAACGGCUAACUACGUG
rnacentral:rRNA from 1 species